CAUUAACGAAGCCAUUUUGGCAUCAUUUCUUUCUAUUCUGUGAAUUUAUCUUUGCUUUGGGUGGUUUGUUUUAGCAGUUUUGUUUUACAACCGCCCAAAUAACAAAACUCUUAAAUUUUUUGAAAUUGUCUGACUGAUUAAAAAAAAUUAAUCAAAACUUUCAACAACGGAUCUCUUGGUUCUCGCAUCGAUGAAGAACGCAGCAAAACGCGAUAUGUAAUGUGAAUUGCAGAAUUUUGUGAAUCAUCGAAUCUUUGAACGCACAUUGCGCCCUUUGGUAUUCCAAAGGGCAUACCUGUUUGAGCGUCAUUUCUUUCUCAUUUUAAAUGGUUUUGUGUGUUUUUUUUGUUGUAGUAAUACAACAAUCACACUAAAUAUAAUGGCAUGAUUGUUAUUUUGUGAUAGCGUUUUAGGUUUACCAACUACGUUUCUCCAAAGCAACAAAGGUCAGGCCUAUAUAACAACCUUCAAAAAUUUGACCUCAAAUCAGGCAAGAAUACCC
rnacentral:rRNA from 1 species